rnacentral:rRNA from 1 species
CAGUAGCCGCGGUAAUACAGAGGGUGCGAGCGUUAAUCGGAUUUACUGGGCGUAAAGCGUGCGUAGGCGGCUUCUUAAGUCGGAUGUGAAAUCCCUGAGCUUAACUUAGGAAUUGCAUUCGAUACUGGGAAGCUAGAGUAUGGGAGAGGAUGGUAGAAUUCCAGGUGUAGCGGUGAAAUGCGUAGAGAUCUGGAGGAAUACCGAUGGCGAAGGUAGCCAUCUGGCCUAAUACUGACGCUGAUGUACGAAAGCAUGGGGAGCAAACAGGAUUAGAUACCCGAGUAGUCCCUGUCUCUUAUAC